rnacentral:rRNA from 1 species
CGGCGCACGGGUGAGUAACGCGUGGGAACGUGCCCUUUGGUACGGAACAACAUCGGGAAACUGAUGCUAAUACCGUAUAUGACGAGAGUUGAAAGAUUUAUCGCCAAAGGAUCGGCCCGCGUUAGAUUAGUUUGUUGGUGAGGUAACGGCUCACCAAGACUACGAUCUAUAGCUGGUUUGAGAGGAUGAUCAGCCACACUGGGACUGAGACACGGCCCAG